rnacentral:rRNA from 1 species
GAUGAACGCUGGCGGCGUGCCUAAUACAUGCAAGUCGAGCGAACAGACGAGGAGCUUGCUCCUCUGACGUUAGCGGCGGACGGGUGAGUAACACGUGGAUAACCUACCUAUAAGACUGGGAUAACUUCGGGAAACCGGAGCUAAUACCGGAUAAUAUAUUGAACCGCAUGGUUCAAUAGUGAAAGACGGUUUUGCUGUCACUUAUAGAUGGAUCCGCGCCGCAUUAGCUAGUUGGUAAGGUAACGGCUUACCAAGGCAACGAUGCGUAGCCGACCUGAGAGGGUGAUCGGCCAAACUGGAACUGAGACACGGUCCAGACUCCUACGGGAGGCAGCAGUAGGGAAUCUUCCGCAAUGGGCGAAAGCUUGACGGAGCAACGCCGCGUGAGUGAUGAAGGUCUUCGGAUCGUAAAACUCUGUUAUUAGGGAAGAACAAAUGUGUAAGUAACUAUGCACGUCUUGACGGUACCUAAGCAGAAAGCCACGGCUAACUACGU